AAGUCGUAACAAGGUUUCGUAGGUGAACCUGCGGAAGGAUCGUUAACACGUAUCCAACGUUAAACCCCCCUGUGAACUUUUACACUUGCUCUCGUGGCCUGCUAAAAUUGCAAUCCCUGGUAAAUCAUUGUUGACAGAUUUUGAUUCAGGGACCUCAGUUUGGUAGGUUUCGAUCGAGCGAUCGUUGCAAGUGGAAGGAUAACGCUUUACGAUCACUGGCGGAACACCGGCCAGUGGACGGGUCGCAGCGGCUUCGGCCCCCCCAUAUUCACCCCACUACCAGAACUCGACUCGUAGGAAACUGCUAGGCAACAAAACGAACCUGUUAACUGGAUAUCUUGGUUCUC
rnacentral:misc_RNA from 1 species